rnacentral:tRNA from 1 species
GUCCCCAUGGUCUAACGGUUAGGACGUCGCCCUUUCAAGGCGGAAAUACGGGUUCGAUUCCCGUUGGGGGUACCA